GACGAACGCUGGCGGCGUGCUUAACACAUGCAAGUCGAACGGUGAAGCCUUCGGGUGGAUCAGUGGCGAACGGGUGAGUAACACGUGAGCAAUCUGCCCUUGACUCUGGGAUAACUUCGGGAAACCGGAGCUAAUACCGGAUAUGACAUCUGGCCGCAUGGUCUGGGUGUGGAAAGAUUUAUCGGUCAGGGAUGAGCUCGCGGCCUAUCAGCUUGUUGGUGGGGAAUGGCCCACCAAGGCGACGACGGGUAGCCGGCCUGAGAGGGCGACCGGCCACACUGGGACUGAGACACGGCCCAGACUCCUACGGGAGGCAGCAGUGGGGAAUAUUGCGCAAUGGGCGAAAGCCUGACGCAGCGACGCCGCGUGAGGGAUGAAGGCCUCGGUCGUAA
rnacentral:rRNA from 1 species